GGUUAAGCGACUAAGCGUACACGGUGGAUGCCCUGGCAGUCAGAGGCGAUGAAGGACGUGCUAAUCUGCGAUAAGCGUCGGUAAGGUGAUAUGAACCGUUAUAACCGGCGAUUUCCGAAUGGGGAAACCCAGUGUGAUUCGUCACACUAUCAUUAACUGAAUCCAUAGGUUAAUGAGGCGAACCGGGGGAACUGAAACAUCUAAGUACCCCGAGGAAAAGAAAUCAACCGAGAUUCCCCCAGUAGCGGCGAGCGAACGGGGAGCAGCCCAGAGCCUGAAUCAGUGUGUGUGUUAGUGGAAGCGUCUGGAAAGGCGCGCGAUACAGGGUGACAGCCCCGUACACAAAAAUGCACAUACUGUGAGCUCGAUGAGUAGGGCGGGACACGUGGUAUCCUGUCUGAAUAUGGGGGGACCAUCCUCCAAGGCUAAAUACUCCUGACUGACCGAUAGUGAACCAGUACCGUGAGGGAAAGGCGAAAAGAACCCCGGCGAGGGGAGUGAAAAAGAACCUGAAACCGUGU
rnacentral:rRNA from 1 species